rnacentral:rRNA from 1 species
UGCGAGAAGUAUCUUCGGAUAUGAGUAGAGCGGCGGACGGGUGAGUAACGCGUAGGAAUCUACCUAGUAGAAGGGGAUAGCCCGAGGAAACUCGGAUUAAUACCGUAUACCUCCUUCGGGAGAAAGAAGGCCUCUCUUUGAAGCUUUCGCUAUUAGAUGAGCCUGCGUAAGAUUAGCUUGUUGGUGAGGUAAAGGCUCACCAAGGCGACGAUCUUUAGCGGGUCUGAGAGGACGAUCCGCCACAUUGGGACUGAGACACGGCCCAGACUCCUACGGGAGGCAGCAGUGGGGAAUAUUGGACAAUGGGCGCAAGCCUGAUCCAGCCAUACCGCGUGUGUGAAGAAGGCCCUAGGGUUGUAAAGCACUUUAAGUUGGGAAGAAAAGUUAUUGGUUAAUACCCAAUGACCGUGACAUACCUUCAGAAUAAGGACCGGCUAAUUCCGUGCCAGCAGCCGCGGUAAUACGGAAGGUCCAAGCGUUAAUCGGAAUUACUGGGCGUAAAGCGCGCGUAGGUGGUUUAUUAAGUUGGAUGUGAAAUCCCCGGGCUCAACCUGGGAACUGCAUCCAAAACUAAUUCACUAGAGUACGAUAGAGGGAGGUAGAAUUCACAGUGUAGCGGUGGAAUGCGUAGAUAUUGUGAAGAAUACCAAUGGCGAAGGCAGCCUCCUGGAUCUGUACUGACACUGAGGUGCGAAAGCGUGGGUAGCGAACAGGAUUAGAUACCCUGGUAGUCCACGCCGUAAACGAUGUCAACUAGCUGUUGGAAAACUAUGUUUUUCAGUGGCGCAGCUAACGUAGUAAGUUGACCGCCUGGGGAGUACGGCCGCAAGGCUAAAACUCAAAUGAAUUGACGGGGACCCGCACAAGCGGUGGAGCAUGUGGUUUAAUUCGAUGCAACGCGAAAAACCUUACCUAUACUUGACAUACUUGGAAUACUUUGUAAUGAAGUAGUGCCUUCGGGAACCAAGAUACAGGUGCUGCAUGGCUGUCGUCAGCU